rnacentral:rRNA from 1 species
AUUGAACGCUGGCGGCAGGCCUAACACAUGCAAGUCGAACGAGUGGCGGACGGGUGAGUAAUGUCUGGGAAACUGCCUGAUGGAGGGGGAUAACUACUGGAAACGGUAGCUAAUACCGCAUACCAUCGGAUGUGCCCAGAUGGGAUUAGCUAGUAGGUGGGGUAAAGGCUCACAUAGGCGACGAUCCCUAGCCGGUCUGAGAGGAUGACCAGCCACACUGGAACUGAGACACGGUCCAGACUCCUACGGGAGGCAGCAGUGGGGAAUAUGGCACAAGUGGCGCAAGCCUGAUGCAGCCAUGCCGCGUGUAUGAAGAAGGCCUUCGGUUUGUAAAGUACUUUCAUCGGGGAGGCGUUACCCGCAGAAGAAGCACCGGCUAACUCCGUGCCAGCAGCCGCGGUAAUAC